UGGAACCACGACUAAGAAAUGAAGUUUUCCCAAGGAUCGUGGAAACAGAGCAGCACAUUAGCCUGGGGACCAUUUUAUUUACGCUUGGAUCCAACAGCUUCUCCUACCCUCCUCCUCUCCCCUUGCCCUGGCAGUGGAAAUCAAACACGCCUCCUCUCCCUCCGCCCUGAGUUUUAUUUAGUGAUUUAAUUUCACUUUAGUUUUAAGGUUUGACCUGAGAAGUCUAGGCCUCAGAUUUUUUUUUAGAUUAAUCAUUUUCCUUUGUUUUCAUUUUAGACCCAAUGGUGGUUGGGCUUCAGGUCACGUGACGACUUCUUUGUCGCUCCGGAAGAGAACUGUGAAGUUUAGGUUGCGUGAGAAUUGCCAGGAAAAAAAAAAAUCAAGAUUUGGGGGAAUUAGCCACAUAGAUGUAAGGUGUGUUAACUUGGGCGCUUCUUGGAUUCUACCCUGAGGAGGAGGCGCAUGAUCUUGAUUUGCCGCUCGCUGAGGUUCAGCAGGUUGGCCAUCUC